rnacentral:tRNA from 1 species
GCCUAUGUGGCUCAGUUGGUAGAGCAUGGUGUGUGCAACGCCAGGGUUGUGGGUUCGAUUCCCACGGGGGGCC